rnacentral:rRNA from 1 species
UCGACUGCCAGUGAUUCGAGACGGCCCUCGCGGUGCUCUAGAUUAGCCAGUAACACGUGGAUAAUCUGCCCUAUGGUGGAGGAUAACCCCGGGAAACUGGGGAUAAUACUCCAUAAGUCAGGAGUACUGGAAUGUCUCCUAACUGAAAGUUGCGGCGCCAUAGGAUGAAUCUGCGGCCGAUUAGGUAGUUGUUGGGGUAACGGCCCAACAAGCCCGUAAUCGGUACGGGUUGUGGGAGCAAGAGCCCGGAGAUGGAAUCUGAGACACGAUUCCAGGCCCUACGGGGCGCAGCAGGCGCGAAAACUUUACAAUGCAGGAAACUGUGAUAAGGGAACCCCGAGUGCCCGUAAACGCGGGCUGUCCCGGUGUUUAAAACACAUCGGAAGAAAGGGCCGGGCAAGACCGGUGCCAGCCGCCGCGGUAAUACCGGCGGCUCGAGUGGUGACCACUUUUAUUGGGCUUAAAGCGUUCGUAGCUUGAUUUUUAAGUCUCUUGGGAAAUCUCACGGCUUAACUGUGAGGCGUCUAAGAGAUACUGGGAAUCUAGGGACCGGGAGAGGUAAGAGGUACUUUCAGGGGUAGAAGUGAAAUUCUUGUAAUUCUUGGAGGGAACAACCGGAUGGCGAAGACCACUCUUAUACAGAACGCCCUCGCAAAGUGAGGAACACAAAGGCUGUGGGGAGCACGACAGGAGAUAUAGAUAACCGGAUUCCCACCGCCCCACAUUGCGCGUUAGUAGGUGGCGCUGUCUACUACAGAUAUAUAACAGGUGCGCGCGAAGAUAUAAAACAU